UACGGAGGGUGCAAGCGUUAUCCGGAUUCACUGGGUUUAAAGGGUGCGUAGGUGGAUUGGUAAGUCAGUGGUGAAAUCCCCGAGCUUAACUUGGGAACUGCCAUUGAUACUAUCAGUCUUGAAUACCGUGGAGGUCAGCGGAAUAUGUCAUGUAGCGGUGAAAUGCUUAGAUAUGACAUAGAACACCAAUUGCGAAGGCAGCUGGCUACACGAAUAUUGACACUGAGGCACGAAAGCGUGGGGAUCAAACAGG
rnacentral:rRNA from 1 species